CUUUGACUCCCCGGAUGAAAGGUAGUGGCAUGUGCUGGAGGGAUCUGCAGUGUGAUUGACAUUCCGUGGUGCUUCCUCUUUAUUUUCUUCACACAGGAGAGGAGGACCCCUCAGAGCAACAUUUGAAACCGAAAAUGCCUGGCCUGCAGCCCUGUGGUGGUGUUGCUCUGCUGGGCUCUCUGAUGCCUCUGUAAUCAGAUAAGAGCCAAGGGCUCUGCUUUCACCAUGUCAAAGAGGAUUAAUGAUGUCGUCUCUUACCAUUGUGUUCCCCACCUGUCGUCU
rnacentral:lncRNA from 1 species